UACGUAGGGUGCGAGCGUUGUCCGGAAUUAUUGGGCGUAAAGAGCUUGUAGGCGGUUUGUCGCGUCUGCUGUGAAAAUUCAGGGCUUAACCCUGGACGUGCAGUGGGUACGGGCAGACUAGAGUGUGGUAGGGGAGACUGGAAUUCCUGGUGUAGCGGUGGAAUGCGCAGAUAUCAGGAGGAACACCGAUGGCGAAGGCAGGUCUCUGGGCCAUUACUGACGCUGAGAAGCGAAAGCAUGGGGAGCGAACAGGAUUAGAUACCCGUGUAGUCC
rnacentral:rRNA from 1 species